rnacentral:rRNA from 1 species
AACGCGAAGAACCUUACCAGCUCUUGACAUGUCGCGUAUGGUCGCCAGAGAUGGCUUCCUUCAGUUCGGCUGGCGCGAACACAGGUGCUGCAUGGCUGUCGUCAGCUCGUGUCGUGAGAUGUUGGGUUAAGUCCCGCAACGAGCGCAACCCUCGCCCUUAGUUGCCAUCAUUUGGUUGGGCACUCUAGGGGGACUGCCGGUGAUAAGCCGAGAGGAAGGUGGGGAUGACGUCAAGUCCUCAUGGCCCUUACGGGCUGGGCUACACACGUGCUACAAUGGCGGUGACAGUGGGAUGCGGAGGGGCGACCCCGAGCAAAUCUCCAAAAGCCGUCUCAGUUCGGAUUGCGCUCUGCAACUCGAGCGCAUGAAGGUGGAAUCGCUAGUAAUCGUAGAUCAGAACGCUACGGUGAAUACGUUCCCGGGCCUUGUACACACCGGUACUA